rnacentral:rRNA from 1 species
GCUAAGACUGGAUAGGAGACAAGAGGGCAUCUUCUUGUUUUUAAAAGACCUAGCAAUAGGUAUGCUUAGGGAGGAGCUUGCGUCACAUUAGUUAGUUGGUGGGGUAAAGGCCUACCAAGACUAUGAUGUGUAGCCGGGCUGAGAGGUUGAACGGCCACAUUGGGACUGAGACACGGCCCAAACUCCUACGGGAGGCAGCAGUAGGGAAUUUUCGGCAAUGGAGGAAACUCUGACCGAGCAACGCCGCGUGAACGAUGAAGUAUUUCGGUACGUAAAGUUCUUUUAUUAGGGAAGAAUAAAUGAUGGAAAAAUCAUUCUGACGGUACCUAAUGAAUAAGCCCCGGCUAACUAUGUGCCAGCAGCCGCGGUAAUACAUAGGGGGCAAGCGUUAUCCGGAAUUAUUGGGCGUAAAGGGUGCGUAGGCGGUUAAAUAAGUUUAUGGUCUAAGUGCAAUGCUCAACAUUGUGAUGCUAUAAAAACUGUUUAGCUAGAGUAAGAUAGAGGCAAGUGGAAUUCCAUGUGUAGUGGUAAAAUGCGUAAAUAUAUGGAGGAACACCAGUAGCGAAGGCGGCUUGCUGGGUCUUUACUGACGCUGAGGCACGAAAGCGUGGGGAGCAAACAGGAUUAGAUACCCUGGUAGUCCACGCCGUAAACGAUGAGUACUAAACGUUGGGUAAAACCAGUGUUGAAGUUAACACAUUAAGUACUCCGCCUGAGUAGUACGUACGCAAGUAUGAAACUUAAAGGAAUUGACGGGACUCCGCACAAGCGGUGGAUCAUGUUGUUUAAUUCGAAGGUACCCGAAAAACCUCACCAGGUCUUGACAUGCUUCUGCAAAGCUGUAGAAACACAGUGGAGGUUAUCAGUUGCACAGGUGGUGCAUGGUUGUCGUCAGCUCGUGUCGUGAGAUGUUGGGUUAAGUCCCGCAACGAGCGCAACCCUUAUUGUUAGUUACCAGCACGUAAUGGUGGGGACUUUAGCAAGACUGCCAGUGAUAAAUUGGAGGAAGGUGGGGACGACGUCAAAUCAUCAUGCCCCUUAUGACCUGGGCUACAAACGUGAUACAAUGGCUGUUACAAAGGGUAGCUGAAGCGCAAGUUUUUGGCGAAUCUCAAAAAAACAGUCUCAGUUCGGAUUGAAGUCUGCAACUCGACUUCAUGAAGUUGGAAUCGCUAGUAAUCGCGAAUCAGCAUGUCGCGGUGAAUACGUUCUCGGGGUUUGUACACACCGCCCGUCA